CCUGGUUUUUGUGUAUAGUACAAAUAACAACACAAAUCGAAAGAAACACACAUUAGUGGAUGAAUAAGAAUCACUAACUUUAAAUAAAACAGUGACCCACCCUGAAAUCAAGGAACAAUAAAAGGAGGAUAUUUUAUGGUAAAUAAAAAAACAACAAUCAAUCACUAGAAUAUGAUGACGAAGCGUCCAGGAAAGAAGUAAGGGCAAGACCGUAAUUUCAUUAUCAACAAGUUUAACGGUUCUCACGGUCACGGACGGCUGUUAAACGAAACGCACAACAAACCCUCGCCCCACAAAUUAACCCUAUAAAUAAACGCUCACCUCACAAGUCUCAAACACACCCCAACGCAGCGCAGCCCUGUGAUUUCGAUCCUUUUCCUCUUUCUUUUCUAUCUCUUUUCUCAGAGAUCGUUCUUUUCUAGGGUUUCCGUCUCGUUUUCUCCGCGCUUUCCCUUCCCAGUUCCCACUCGUAUCUAUUUUCUUCGAAUUGAUUUUGGUGGUGGGUUGAAGGUAUUGAAAGCUGCGGCGUUUUAACCAGACCUUAUCAAAACAGG